rnacentral:rRNA from 1 species
GUGGGGAAUAUUGGACAAUGGGCGCAAGCCUGAUCCAGCCAUGCCGCGUGAGUGAUGAAGGCCUUAGGGUUGUAAAGCUCUUUCACCGAUGAAGAUAAUGACGGUAGUCGGAGAAGAAGCCCCGGCUAACUUCGUGCCAGCAGCCGCGGUAAUACGAAGGGGGCUAGCGUUGUUCGGAUUUACUGGGCGUAAAGCGCACGUAGGCGGUUUGUUAAGUCAGGGGUGAAAUCCCGGAGCUCAACUCCGGAACUGCCUUUGAUACUGGCAAACUAGAGUCCGGAAGAGGUAAGUGGAACUCCUAGUGUAGAGGUGGAAUUCGUAGAUAUUAGGAAGAACACCAGUGGCGAAGGCGGCUUACUGGUCCGGAACUGACGCUGAGGUGCGAAAGCGUGGGGAGCAAACAGGAUUAGAAACCCUUGUAGUCC